rnacentral:rRNA from 1 species
ACUCCUACGGGAGGCAGCGGUGGGGAAUUUUGGACAAUGGGCGAAAGCCUGAUCCAGCAAUGCCGCGUGAGUGAAGAAGGCCUUCGGGUUGUAAAGCUCUUUUGUCAGGGAAGAAACGGUGAGAGCUAAUAUCUCUUGCUAAUGGCGGUACCUGAAGAAUAAGCACCGGCUAACUACGUGCCAGCAGCCGCGGUAAUAC